rnacentral:lncRNA from 1 species
AAGAACUCCAAAAAACAAAAGCUUGGAACUUGUGAAGGAAGAAGCUUAAUAUUUGCUAUGGUUGGAGGUUAGUGUCAUGAUCCUUAUUAGAUGAUGGUAGGUUUAUCUGCCAGGAAACAAAAAUGCACUAUUAUUAUUAAAUCAUAGUUGAUAUUUGCCUAUACUUAUUUAUUUUUGCUUCCAUUAUUAUUCAUUAGUUAUAUAUAUGUACAUGCAUACAAUGUACAUGCAUACAUUGUGGUCAUGGAAGAAAAAACAACAUUUUGACAUAAACAGUACCACACACAUAAUUAGUACUGCAAACAACUUCGUUGUAAUCGCUGAUGAUAAUCUUGAUGAUUCACAAAUGGUAGUGCAUACUGACAAAACUACUUUGGAGAAACAAUCCCUGGUAGGGGAAGAUGUGUGUCAGGAAGUCCAAUUUGACAAUAAUUUUGAACUUGAUGCGGUUAAAACCUAUGUGUGAAAUUCUUAGUUUGGAAUAUCAUGGGGUUUAAUGUCUCUAGGGAUUUUGAUCUUUUUCAAUUCCUUCAUGCUGCACCUCAUCACUUCACUCACCUAUGUGAGAAAGGGGGAGGGAGGGGUGGUUCAUGAGAUUUUGUGAGUUUCUUCUUCUAUGACGUGUUUAAUGAGCCAUGAACUGCUUGAUGUUCAUAGGGUACCUAGAAUGGUUACGAAUUUUGUUCAUGAACAGAGGUUCCUAUGUUAAAAAAAGAAAUAAAGAAAAAAUAGAAAAGAAUAUAUAUAAAAAAAACACUACCUUUUUCUAUUUUCAAUGUUAAUUGAUUAAUGAUCUCUCUCUUUCUACAUCUUCAUUCAUGUGAUUUUUGGCUUGCCAUUAACUCCUCUGGCUCUAUGAAGGCUCCUCUCCUUUGCUAUUUUUUAGGGAGUGGCUUGGCUAAUGACAUUGCUGGUUUUUUUUAGGUGGUGGAUGUUCUCUUUUGAUUAGGGUGGAGCGACGGGAUGGCUAUAGGCGGAGGGAUGUCUCUCAAGAUUGAUGUCUGAGUGACAAUUGGAUGGAGGAUUAAUACCUUGGGGUUCAGGGGCUGUGCUACUGUGUUUCUUUGGAGGCUGUGUUUUGGAAGUUUGUG